rnacentral:misc_RNA from 1 species
GUUUUUCUGAAAUAGGGAAGACCAUAGAAAUCCAAACCUAAAAGAAAGCGUGAGAAAGAUGAAGCUAAGCUCUUCUGCAUGUUCUAUAGCGCGUAUACCCUCUCUCUUUGCGAGUCUCUGCAGACCCAUUUGCUCUACUUCACUAUCAUUAUCCCCUUCUUCUCUGAAACCCACAACGCCACUCUUUUUACGCCCUCCUACAUUCUCAACCUCUUUAUCGGAACUCAACAAAUGGCAUCACUGGGCCAAAAACCUUGCUUCCUCAGUUGGGUCUUCUUUUGUUCACUUAGACAACGGCCCAGACUCCACUCUUCUCUGUCGAGAACUCAGGUGGCUCUUAGAAGACUCGCUUGAAGACCACUCACUAAUAUCUCAAUUGGGUAGUCAAAAUUAUCACAUGGAUGUAAGGCUAAGGGCAUCUUUGGAUGAACUCUAUGUUCUUUGGAGGCAGAGGAUUGAAGAGAGGAGACCCUUUCAGUACAUCGUUGGGUGUGAGCAUUGGCGAGAUUUGGUUUUGAGUGUACAAGAAGGGGUCCUGAUUCCAAGGCCAGAAACAGAAUUAAUCGUUGAUUUGGUGAAAGAUGUGGUCUUGGAUAGUCGAGAGUUGAAAGAAGGUUUGUGGGCAGAUUUGGGUACCGGUAGUGGUGCUAUUGCAAUUGGCAUUGGAAGGAUUCUUUGGAGUCAGGGAAGAGUAAUUGCUACUGAUUUAAGCCCAGUGGCAGUGGCGGUAGCCACUUAUAAUGUCCUUAGAUAUGAUCUAAAGGAUAUGAUUGAGGUAAGGAAAGGAUCUUGGUUUGAACCAUUAAAGGAUGUUGAAGGAAAACUUGCAGGUGUUGUGAGUAACCCCCCAUAUAUACCUAGUGAUGAUAUCUCAAGGUUGCAAGCUGAAGUUGGUCAACAUGAACCAAGGCUUGCAUUAGAUGGUGGUGUUAGUGGCAUGGAUGAUCUUCUUCAUCUUAGCAAUGGAGCUGUUUCAAUGUUGAAACCUGGGGGGUUUUUUGUUUUUGAGACAAAUGGUGAGAAGCAAUGCCAGUUUCUAGUAGAUUACAUGGAAAAUAAUAAUCCUGGCAAAUUUUGCAAUGUGAACAUAGUAUCCGAUUUUGCUGGUAUCCAACGGUUUGUAACAGGUUUCACCAAUGAUAAAUGUCACUGAUAAAUGCCUCUCUACAUUGGAUACUGGAAAUAGGAGAAGAAAAAGAUAAGGUCUGUGUUCCCUGUCUGUUAUAAAUUUUAGUAAAAAUUUAUGAUGUUUAGUUAUUCUUUUGUUUGUUGUUUUACUAAUCUGAAAUGGAAAUCUUCUCCUUCAAUUCAAUUCAUCUUACUUGCUUAUUAAGCCUAGCUCUUUUAAUAUUUGGGUGCUUACCAUACAGCUGCUCUUAUUGUGGAAUUUGUGCUUCAUUUCAACUGCUACUAAGAAGAAUCAUAGAGGCAGCUUACACGGUUAGAAUGGUAAUGAAGGAGUUUGGACUGGAACUUGCUGCAUAAUCAAUGAUAGGUCCUGUUUACGCUGCUGUCCAAUGGAUCUGUCAUGGAUAAUGAUUCACUGCAUUUCCUUGAAGAAAGGCUUGUGUUUGCUGCUCAUCACAUUCUUUGCGGUGUCAUUUUGCUUGAAUUUGCCAUCGAUGCUAUGGAAAGCUUGAGUUUACAAAAUUCCAUGCAUCUCAACAUUAACUGUUCAAGGAGGCUGGGACAAAUAUCUUGAAAAAGUUUUCAGAAACAAUCAAUUGUUUGUCUCAAUGAUAGUUCAAGAAUUGGUGACUGCAGUGGUACUUUUAUAUUAUAUUCUUGAGUAAGAGUUUAUUGCUAUGUUCUAUAAGCCACCAUUUCUCUCAUCUUUCAGUAGUUGGUCCUUUUUUCUACCUCAUUUGUUGGCCAGUCUCCGAAUCAGUAUAGUAAAUAAAAAAAAGGUUACUUUAAAACAAAAUAUACAAUGCUAUUUGCUAAAAAAAUUGGGAAAAAAAAGGAUGAAUAGAGAGGAGAAAAAAAGCUUGAAAAUGCCACGAGUCAAUUGCUUCUAUCAUAUAUGGAAUUGAAGGUCAUGGCAGCAUAUGAGGUGGUCAUUGCAGAUGAUGAAGAUGAAUUUUCAAGCUUGCUUGAACCAGCAGAUUCUGUAUAAGAUGAGUUUUGCAUAUUAGUCAGCCUGCUUAAACCAGCAUAUUCUGUGUUAGACGACUUCUUCAUCUUUGCUUUAUCUGUGGCCUUUGUCUCUUUUGAUGCCCAUGAGCUCAGAAAGCAGUCCUGGACUCGAUAUAUUAUCGUCUUUCAAAUCGAUCUCACCCUUUAGCAUCCUCACCACAGUAGACAUAGUUGGCCUG